CCUACGGGAGGCAGCAGUGGGGAAUUUUGGACAAUGGGCGCAAGCCUGAUCCAGCCAUGCCGCGUGCAGGAUGAAGGCCUUCGGGUUGUAAACUGCUUUUGUACGGAACGAAAAGGUUUGGCCUAAUAAGUUGAACUCAUGACGGUACCGUAAGAAUAAGCACCGGCUAACUACGUGCCAGCAGCCGCGGUAAUACGUAGGGUGCGAGCGUUAAUCGGAAUUACUGGGCGUAAAGCGUGCGCAGGCGGUUAUGUAAGACAGAUGUGAAAUCCCCGGGCUCAACCUGGGAACUGCAUUAGUGACUGCAUAGCUGGAGUACGGCAGAGGGGGAUGGAAUUCCGCGUGUAGCAGUGAAAUGCGUAGAUAUGCGGAGGAACACCGAUGGCGAAGGCAAUCCCCUGGGCCUGUACUGACGCUCAUGCACGAAAGCGUGGGGAGCAAACAGGAUUAGAUACCCUGGUAGUCCACGCCCUAAACGAUGUCAACUGGUUGUUGGGUCUUCACUGACUCAGUAACGAAGCUAACGCGUGAAGUUGACCGCCGUGGGAGGUACGGCCGCGAGGUUAGAAACGUACGAAAGGAAAGUUAGACGGCGUAGAGACGUAGACCGACGGACGACGACGAGGGGAGGAGG
rnacentral:rRNA from 1 species